CCUACGGGAGGCAGCAGUGAGGGAUAUUGGUCAAUGGGGGAAACUCUGAACCAGCAACGCCGCGUGAGGGAAGACGGUUUUCGGAUUGUAAACCUCUGUCCUCUGUGAAGAUAAUGACGGUAGUACAGAAGGAAGCACCCGCUAACUACGUGCCAGCAGCCGCGGUAAUACUUAGGGAGCAAGCGUUGUUCGGAUUUACGGGGUGUAAUGGGUGCGUAGGCGGCCCUGCAGGUCAGAAGUGAAAUCCAUGGGCUUAACCCGUGAACUGCUUUUGAAACUGUAGGGCUUGAGUGAAGUAGAGGCAGGCGGAAUUCCCGGUGUAGCGGUGAAAUGCGUAGAGAUCGGGAGGAACACCAGUGGCGAAGGCGACCUUCUGGGCUUUAACUGACGCUGAAGCACGAAAGCGUGGGUAGCAAACAGGAUUAGAUACCCCUGUAGUC
rnacentral:rRNA from 1 species